ACUUGAAGCUCAUCGAGAGAAUCCCAAGAGUGUGCAAAAUGAUAAUCUGCGCAAAGGGUGGCUAUUUUGAAUGUGAGCGGCACCAGGGGCAAAGGGUGAAGUGUCCUGCCCAAGGACACAACGGCAGCAAUUUUUUGGAUGUCAAUAGGUGGGAAGCAAACCUGCAACCCUCAGGUUUCUGGCCGGCCGCUCUACCCACUACGCCAUGCCGUGGAGGUUUCUCACCUUCAGAGCGACAGGUGAUUAGAUAAGCAGGCCCAGGUGGGCCAUCCACGCACCUGUCGCUGAUCUCGAAGCCGGUCCUGGCAUACGCCGCUUCGCUGCAGAGCCGCAGGCCACGCCCCCCUCCACAAUGUACUUAAUGUAUUACUUGGAACUGACUAUGACAUACUCAAUAAACAAUG